UGGGGAAUAUUGGACAAUGGGGGAAACCCUGAUCCAGCGACGCCGCGUGUGUGAAGAAGGCCUGCGGGUUGUAAAGCACUUUUAGUGGGGAUGAAAUGUGCAGGGUUAAUACCUCUGCAUUUUGACCUAACCCACAGAAAAAGCACCGGCUAACUCUGUGCCAGCAGCCGCGGUAAUACAGAGGGUGCAAGCGUUAAUCGGAAUUACUGGGCGUAAAGCGUGCGCAGAUGGUUCGAUAAGUCGGGUGUGAAAGCCCCGGGCUCAACCUGGGAAUUGCAUUCGAGACUGCCGAGCUAGGGUGCGGAAGAGGGAAGCGGAAUUUCCGGUGUAGCGGUGAAAUGCGUAGAUAUCGGAAGGAACACCAGUGGCGAAAGCGGCUUCCUGGUCCAGCACCGACAUUCAGGCACGAAAGCGUGGGGAGCAAACAGGAUUAGAUACCCCCGUAGUCC
rnacentral:rRNA from 1 species